AGCAACACCUCGUCAAUCUUCAAAAACUAUGGCACGCCUAAAGAGUCACAAACAAAAUGUUUAAAUUAAAAAAAAGUUUCGCCACAACGCCACCUAGCGGUCAAAUAUAGAACUGCAUGCAGCUUAUUCCUUAUUCGCUUAUUCGUCAGAACGUGAGAAGUUAUAACACAGGUAAUAAAUCAUUUCAUCUGAUGUCAACAAUCAACGUUAAGCUAGCUUCGAAAAUUACCAAUGAUUCAUAGUCAGUGAGUCAGUAAACGUGAAAGUCAUGCAACCUACCGUCAACUAUUUUGUUCAAACUCAUUGUAUUCAGCUACUGAAUGUGUCAUCAAGAUGAUACAGGAUUAAUCUUAAUUAUCGGCUGUUUCUAUUGAACUUGCUAGAUCACCGACCCCAGCAUGGAACAAUCUCUCAUUCCAUCUUAUAAAGAAUCUUGGAUAACUGAUUUGUGGUUUCAUGUUUCUAAAUUGGCAUGACUGACAUACGAGAAGUUAUGUCCUUCCAAGAAAAGGACUUACAGUCAACAAGAUUCCUUGUUUGCUAACCCGUUGGCUGCUACCCAUGAAUCUCCCUAUUUUUCAACAACAAAAAAAGAGGUUAAAUAUUGUGAUCAUGCUAUCAUCAUUAUUUUGCCUAUAAGACCAAAUGUGGGACAUCUGGUUAUCCCUCCAAAAUAAGGCAAUGACCACACGUUCAACGCGGAUCAUUCGCUUUGUCAUCGAACUUGACUCAUUCCAUCUUCUGGAUUGCUUAGGAAAGCUGAUUGGUGUUACCUGUGUAACUUCAUUGUCAUGUCACUGAAUUUAAAUUUUGUUUACAUUUUGUUUCUUGAUUUAGCCAUUUAGGUAAUGACCGAGAAGAUGUGGCUACAUGAACAUCAUUUAGGCGGUCAGCAUCAUUCGACUACCCAACCGGCUACUACUACUCUGCUCUCAACACAGCAAGGAGUUUUAUCCUUAGAUUUUUGGUUGUUCGCGAUGUGUGAUGCGGUGUGAUGGCGUUUCCUUGGACGUGACUGAUGAUUUUGACGAGAAAAAUAUUGCGUUCUAACCUUCAGGUUCCUAAAUAUGAAAAGUAAUGUUCUUUCAAGAAAGUCAACGACGUCCCUUACUCCCUUGUUUGCUAACCCAAAGGCUGCUACCCUUGAAUAUCCCUAUUUAGCGCCUUACACAGUCCCUCUCGAUUUGAGGGUAAUCCUUCGCUACUGAUCAUGGACUCCAUUGGUG
rnacentral:lncRNA from 1 species